GCCCUUGUAGUUUAAUGGAUAGAAUAUGAGAUUCCGGUUCUCACGGUGGCGGUUCGAUUCCGCCCGGGGGCA
rnacentral:tRNA from 1 species